CCAGGGUAGUAUACAGUUAUUGUCUCGAAACCCAAAGAGUUUGGCGGUACCUUAGUCUAGUUAGAGGAGCUUGUUCAGUAAUCGAUAAUCCGCGAAAAAUCUUACAUAUUUUGUAAUCAGUUUAUAUACCGUCGUUAUUAGAUAAUAUUAAAAAAUAAAUAAUUAUCUGAAAAUAAUUAAAUAUAAUAUAUCAGAUCAAGGUGUAGCUUAUAAAUGUGAGUGGAAUGAGCUACAAUUUAGUUUAUAAAAACGGAAAUUAAUUUUUAAUAGUUAGUUAAAGGUGGA
rnacentral:rRNA from 1 species